UGAGGAUGUCUUCUCCCCUUAAACCAGGUCUCUUGACUCGGAGUCUUCCAAGGAUUGAUUCUGGAGUGUAAGUCAGCAAUAUGAACUUGAUGCUCAUUUUGGCCUAAAGAUGGAGUCAUGAUCUGUCCCAGGCUGAAGUACAGUGGCACGAUCAUAGCUCACUGCAGCCUCAAAGGCCUGGGCUCAACGGAUCCUUCCUCCUCAGCCUCUUGAAUAGCAGAUUUUAUACACAUCUGCAAAGUCUUUGGCCCUAUCCACCCUUCCUCUUGACUCUGCACUGGCCUUAGGCACGCUGCAUGACUUUCCAGGCUGGGCCAAUAAAAGCCAUGCAGCUUCCAUUUGGUUCUCUUUGGAUGCUUGUUCAUCCCUCUGGAGAUGUCUCUUAUGAGAACCCAAAAGCCAUGCUAUAAGAAGCCACAAGGAGAGGCCAUGUAUAGAAACUCCAGUCAACAGUUCCAGAUGAACCUGUCCUUCAACACUCAGAGCCAAGCUGCCAGACAUAGACGGGAUUUUACCAUGUUGCCCAGGCUGGUCUCAAAUUCCUGAGCUAA
rnacentral:antisense_RNA from 1 species